AUUGAACGCUGGCGGCAGGCCUAACACAUGCAAGUCGAGCGGAUGAGGGGAGCUUGCUCCUGGAUUCAGCGGCGGACGGGUGAGUAAUGCCUAGGAAUCUGCCUGGUAGUGGGGGAUAACGUCCGGAAACGGGCGCUAAUACCGCAUACGUCCUGAGGGAGAAAGUGGGGGAUCUUCGGACCUCACGCUAUCAGAUGAGCCUAGGUCGGAUUAGCUAGUUGGUGGGGUAAAGGCCUACCAAGGCGACGAUCCGUAACUGGUCUGAGAGGAUGAUCAGUCACACUGGAACUGAGACACGGUCCAGACUCCUACGGGAGGCAGCAGUGGGGAAUAUUGGACAUUGGGCGAAAGCCUGAUCCAGCCAUGCCGCGUGUGUGAAGAAGGUCUUCGGAUUGUAAAGCACUUUAAGUUGGGAGGAAGGGCAGUAAGUUAAUACCUUGCUGUUUUGACGUUACCAACAGAAUAAGCACCGGCUAACUUCGUG
rnacentral:rRNA from 1 species